GUCCUCCAAGCUGCCUAGAGUGGCAGUCUGGGAGGCAGCCAAUCAGGGCCCAGUGGGCUUGUAUAAGAAAAGCUGCAAGGCCAGAAAUGUGAAGUUUCUUGCCAGAGCUGGAGGAGAGUGGGUGCCCUGGGCUGGGACUCCACCAGGACAAGGCCUUGAGAUGGUGUCUGACUUGGCCGGAGGGUUGAGUCACCAAAGACCUACCACAAAGUGUGUGAGAGAAUGCAGGUGCACACACUCAGCCAGAGGGUGCUUGUGAGAGGUUCAUGAAUAUCUCCCUUUGAAACAGCACUUAAAUUGAGCCUUUAAAGACUAACUUGCCACAUUCAUGGGAGUGGAUUAUGGAAGGACAUUGCAUCACUGGAGGCAAAGCAAAAUGCUUUAGGGGGCAGUGGACUCCCAGCCCUUCAAGUUAGCGUUCAUGGCUGAUGGGAAUUGGUGCAUGGUCCUGUCUCCACCUGGCCAACCAACACUCCCCCGCCCCCGGGAUGACUUCAUUCCAAUGUUUUUUUGCAUAAGCCAUGUACUGUAUUUUAACAAUUAGUUUAGAUGCUGAUUAGAUACCAAGUUCAUGGUUUUCCAUUAUUUAUACUAUCAUUUCAACAAUGGUGCAGAUCAAGUUUAGUUGCUAUUAGCUAUGCACAUACCCAGCUGGCUGUAUGAUCCAUGAAAAGCAAGUUUAAUUGUUUGGAUACAGUGUUAAGGAUAUUUUUUACCCACAUAUCUCAAAUAGGAAUGACAAAAUGACUUGAUCUAUUUCCUGUACCACAGUCUCACGGUCUAUUUUUUUUUCUUUUUUCAAAAAGAAAAACAUUGUUUUGUAGGGAUAUUAUUAGGCAAUAAAAAAUUCUGUUUGUUUUUUCUGUCCACUGAGAUAACAGCAGAAUGUUUUGUCUACGCCCAGCCAAUUUUCAUUAGCUGCUGGAAGAUGUGAAACUGAUUUGAAGUUCUUGGAACUUCAGCUCAAU